UUACACAUAAAAGAAUCCAGCUUCUCUGCAAUUCAAAAAUUCCAAAACAUUACUACAUAGAUUUCACAUUAUAUUAACCACAUAGUAGGCAUCAAAACGAAGUCCUCACAUCAGUUAAAUAGCACUACACAAAUUUCACACUAUGUUAACCACAAAGUAGGCAUCGAAAUGAUGUCUCCACAUAAGUUCAAGAACAAUUUUAUUACAUCAACAACUACAAAUUACACCCGCCACGUUCAUUUCUUAUCCCCUUCCACAAUCCUUUGUCCUUUGCGUAUUGUCACAUUUACAGAAAUCUCCACAUCUUUUUCAUGAGUUCGCCGACACAUGGUUUCGAACAUGCCAGAGACAUCUUGAACUAAUUCAGGCACCACAAGUUUAGUGGAGGUAAUGCCAACGGCACUUGAUUUACCGCUCUUUCACCUUCUUUAACCCACUCCCAAUAUCUGCAGUGCAACAAUUGAACAAUUUACCUUUGUUCUUAUUAUCCUUCUCUACUUGAAAACAGUUCACAAAUGCAUGUUUACACCACCGGCAUGGAUAUUUAUUUGGGCACUCUGUAAAGAAGUGAUCGUUACUUCUACAACAAUGACAUAUUCUGUGAUUUUUUCCGGUCAUAGUAAGCUACUAUUCAACCACGUAGGCAGAAUAUCAAUAGAACAUAAUAAAUAAUUCAAUUGAAUGUUUGCAAAAUUUCGAUAACGCAUUGUUCGAGCAAAUGAAAUGGAAAUUAACAACUACUUCUUAAUAGGUACAUAUAUAUAAGAAAUCAACUAAGGAACA
rnacentral:lncRNA from 1 species